GUGAGGAAUAUUGGUCAAUGGGCGAGAGCCUGAACCAGCCAAGUCGCGUGAAGGAAGAAGGAUCUAUGGUUCGUAAACUUCUUUUGCAGGGGAAUAAAGUGCAGGACGUGUUCUGUUUUGUAUGUACCCUGAGAAUAAGGAUCGGCUAACUCCGUGCCAGCAGCCGCGGUAAUACGGAGGAUCCGAGCGUUAUCCGGAUUUAUUGGGUUUAAAGGGUGCGUAGGUGGUUUGAUAAGUCAGCGGUGAAAGUUUGCAGCUUAACUGUAAAAAUGCCGUUGAAACUGUCGGACUUGAGUGUAAAUGAGGUAGGCGGAAUGCGUGGUGUAGCGGUGAAAUGCAUAGAUAUCACGCAGAACUCCGAUUGCGAAGGCAGCUUACUAAGCUACAACUGACACUGAAGCACGAAAGCGUGGGGAUCAAACAGGAUUAGAAACCCUUGUAGUCC
rnacentral:rRNA from 1 species